CUCUGGUAUUGAUUGGUGCUUGCAUCAUGAUUUACAUUUGAGUGAGUGGCGAACUGGUGAGUAACACGUGGGAAACCUGCCCAGAAGCGGGGGAUAACACCUGGAAACAGAUGCUAAUACCGCAUAACAACUUGGACCGCAUGGUCCGAGUUUGAAAGAUGGCUUCGGCUAUCACUUUUGGAUGGUCCCGCGGCGUAUUAGCUAGAUGGUGGGGUAACGGCUCACCAUGGCAAUGAUACGUAGCCGACCUGAGAGGGUAAUCGGCCACAUUGGGACUGAGACACGGCCCAAACUCCUACGGGAGGCAGCAGUAGGGAAUCUUCCACAAUGGACGAAAGUCUGAUGGAGCAACGCCGCGUGAGUGAAGAAGGGUUUCGGCUCGUAAAACUCUGUUGUUAAAGAAGAACAUAUCUGAGAGUAACUGUUCAGGUAUUGACGGUAUUUAACCAGAAAGCCACGGCUAACUACGUGCCAGCAGCCGCGGUAAUACGUAGGUGGCAAGCGUUGUCCGGAUUUAUUGGGCGUAAAGCGAGCGCAGGCGGUUUUUUAAGUCUGAUGUGAAAGCCUUCGGCUCAACCGAAGAAGUGCAUCGGAAACUGGGAAACUUGAGUGCA
rnacentral:rRNA from 2 species